UUAGGGCUGUUGACCGAAUCAGACAAUCUACCUCAGCGGGGCCUGCCUGCUCGGCUCCACGGGGCCAGCGCGCCGGCGGCCCCGCCGAACUGACCCGCGUACUCACGGGUCGAACCGGUGGUGGCUGUUGCGGUAACGGGACAACAUCAUGCACAACCAACUCGUACAAAGAACGGGCCACAGUUUUUUUUACAUAUCACCGCGCACCGCACCCAUAGCUUUCAACGUGAGACCAAGCAACGAGGUCUGACUAUUUUUUUUCUUUCCACAUUGAACCACAACCGCAAGUUUCUUGAUGAAUAAAAUUAUGUUAAAGUGAGACUGCAGUUCGGUUCGUUCCUGGAGCAUGUCACAACAUGUCUAGUGGCCGAGGCUGGCUGUGCAAAAAACGGCUGCCUAUAGACAUCAUUUGGGAUGAACUUGAAUGUCAGAGGAGAAACACUGCGUUGAAUAACAUUCAUCUUUUUGAGGGGUGAUAUUUUUGGAUUUCCGAACUCCGAAAGUGUCGUAACUCGGGUCGACUUUUCUGAAUUAGACAAGGGGAGCAACUCAGGCUACAGUGGCGGUUGAACAUCAUAGCCUGCGCCUGAAGCCAACAAAGGUGAGGUUAACAUCGAAUCGCUGACUUCCUAACAAGGCACAGACUAGAAACACAACAAGAACCCAGAGACGAGUUUUCAAGUCAUCGGAAACAGCAGGGCCAGCACGACCUCUUUCAGCCGGGCCGGCGGGACUAGACCGCGGCUAGACGCCCAGACCCACCGGGUUCAUGAGCGGAGGCGUCCCCAAGACCUCGAUACCGGCAUGAGAUAGCGGUUCACCGCGGCAGACGAGGCAGGGGAAAACACAGUAUGAGUGGGAAGUGGAGGAAACCAGAAAGGUAACGAUGGAACGAGGUGGCUGGGAAGGACUACACGUCAUGAUGCGUUGGCAUGACAACAGGCAUGGAAUACCAGCAGACGAACGCAGAUGCGUCAGCCCUGAGCGUUCACCUGACGGGCAGAGAGUAUCCCCAUUGGUCAACUACACGGGAGGGAGGUCACCUGACAGGCAGAAUGCACCCUGAUUGAUUUGCAUCAUAUCGGAGGCAGCUCAACCCAUCACAUGAUCUGGCAGCUUCCCUUGAAUAUCAACUGGUGACCCAAGCAGGCCGGAACCAGACAAGGUCGACCGAAACCAGCCUGCAUGAAGGCCAGGGUCAUUCGGAGCCAAGGAUGUCUCCAGACCUGUAGCCGACCACUUCCCGUAGACAUGAAUGUAAGUCCGCGCAUUAUUCCUGGUGCAAUACAAGCACGGUAACAGGAAGUUCCAGUCACCUCGUUCAUCGCAACGUCGAUAUUUCCUUCACAAAAAAAAACUCGUCUGUGUUUGUGUAUCUUAGAUUUAAGUGCCCUCCAAUAUGAAUUCUGGUCGUUGCUUUGUUCACAAUGACUUAAACUUCACCAAUCCUUGGAAAUCUACAAAGAAACGUAACUUUGUAUCCACCAAUCACCGCGAACUUCAAGAUGACGUCACUGCAUACUACUUCUUCAAACUCAAAGUUAGCCACGUACAACUGGCUCAAUACAUCUCAACAUGUCGCACAAUAAUUCAUCAUUUCAUUAACUGCAGCUUUGUCUAGUUAAUAGCAGAUCCAUGGAUUAAUUUUUUUUCACGCAAUGCAAAUUCGGCGCAUGCUCUUUUGUUGGUGUCCGUUACUGCGCAUGACCACGCCGGAAAUAAACGUAGUUUUAGAGUGUUAAUUUUAGUUAGGUUUUCCCUUGUAGCACAAAUACGUACAGGAAAGUAUGUAGUAUCCAGACGUCACUUCUUUGGUCAUGUACAAAGUCUAUGGAGAGUCGAGUGCAUUUUCAAAGUACAAGUGUUUUCUAACAAAAUUGGAAAUGUUUCUCAGUCCCAGUUCCAUGUCUUUUUCAACCUUUUUUCCCAAUGACUGACCUUCACUGAGAUAAUGAUGGAAAAAGUGGCAUCAGGAUGCAACAUUCUUUCAUAAAACAUACUGUGGAGCUUAAAGUGACAGUAUUACUGCACGUAGAUAGAUUACACAAUUUUCACCCUUUUUCUUUAGAAACUUGCACAAUGGUAUUUCCUAAAAUCUUCUGUUUUAAAAGUGUAAUACCCAUAAUAUACUGAUGUCAAGCUUAUGGCGGUUCGUCAUAAAGCUUGUGUCAAAAGUGAAUACCAGUUGCCAAACCAGUUACCAACCUGAAUAUAUAGUAUUAUGUGAUAGUAGUGGACGAAAUAGUGUUUUAAUAGGUGAUUGGCGUAAUUAACUGAAAUUUGUUUUUAAAAAUAUCCUACAACUUUUGCCCACUUUUCUCGGGUCACAUCAGCCAAAAUAAGUAUUAAGAGUGGAUGUUUGUGUCAACGUAAAGAUGCCCAACUAGUGCGCGUAUACAAGUACGUCGUACGGAUUAUGAUCUGGGUUAGCCUGGUUAUCGGCUGUUCGUGUAUUUUCGUUGGCAUCAUCUGCUCAUGCGUCGUAAAUUUUCGGACCACGAACAGCCAAUGAAAUACCCUACUGCGUUCGUUUGAACUCGGGCUUGAUUCACGACGCAUGCGUCGUGAAUCAAGCACGAGAAUGUAUUCGCAGUCGGGGUACAUCAUUGCUGUUUUGGACAAUAAUGCUGCACGCGCUAACGCAAAUAAAAUGUAGAUUUAGAAAAAAAGAAGAAAAUUAGAUGUUUAAAAAAGACUAAUUUAAUGCUGCAAGAAGUUUGAAAUAUCACAGAAAUGCUGCCGUAAGGACGUCAAGGUUGACAUCCUAUGACGACCUUUCGCAAUUGGAAGGGCAACUCAGGAAUGAUGUAAUAGCUAGCAAAUUAGAUCGUAGUGGAUUCGAGAGGGCGCUCUUGCUUACGUAGAAAAAAAUAGCCAACUAUCGCUAAUUAUUUAAUUUUUUUGCGGAUUAGUAAAUGCAAUGCUAAUCACACUGGACACAGGGAGGAUGAGAUUAUGUAUAAUAACGAGUGGUUUGCACUGGUGAAAACUUCAUUCAGAUAUCCACAUAUACACUUCUUAAACAUUCGAGAUUUUUUGGUGAAGCGCACUUUGGCGCACAAACACGAACGAGCGAUUUUUGUUGCUACAUUUUUGAUGUAGCAGAGGAGUUGAUGAGAAUAGAGGGGUUGAUAGAGUAGCACUAGAAUGUAUUCAUUAAUGUUUAUACCUAACUGAAAUACAACAUUAAUUAAUGGUUUAUCAUGUUGUUGUUGUUUUUUAAUUCCUGUUUAAUAAUGGUGUGUUUUGAUCGUAGAGGGCGUGCUAGUGGCGCCCUCUACGGUGGUGUGGAAAUAUAUGUCUCAGUGUAUUACUUUGGUGCAUGAGGCACCCGUUUCGCCACAUAAUUGCUGCAUUAUAAAUACUGUAGACUUGUGAAAGUCCUUUCCCCGUUAGAUCGGUAUAGUAGGUUUAGAUUUUGGUAUAGAAGUAAUAGAAAACGUGUAAAGAUUUCUACGAAGAUGUGAAAAUCCCCAAAUGCGAUUUUCUUUAGCUGUUUUGUAGUGGAUGUUUAAUGUUGAGAUUUGUGUAUGGACUUUUCCAGUCUAUUAUACUGUUACCGUGAUAUCUAUAAUUUACUUAGUUUGUUUUUCCAUGUGAAUAGUGUACAUAGUCAAUUCCCUUAUGACGUGAUCUGUGAUCUUUUCUAUGCCCUUUUAAUACCUCUGAGAGACAGUUUGUUAUUAUGAAACACUGAUAACAAACCUGUUGAAAAUCAUUUCAGUCGUAGAUGUUACGUUGGUAGAAAAGAAAUGUAUCUUGUUUGUUUUUACUAUAGGAUAAUGUGUGUUGUAUUUUAUAGCAGAAAGACAACUCAUACACAUGGUGGUCCAAAAACACGUUUACACUUUUUUUUUCAGAUUCAGAUUUCUUGGAAUUGGGGAGACAUGUUAAAAUCGUUUCAGGAUAUUCCUAAACUACCGCAUCUUCGUGGUAUAUGGUGAAAACGGCGCUAAAAAUGUAGCCUAGAUUAAGAAAUUGGCGAUGGUUUAAAGAAAGAUGGUCAGAAACCAUUUUGUCAACACGCAAGUCUAUGAGAUGUGGUCAACACAAUAGCACUGCGCACAUAAUAAUUGCAAUAAUUGUAAUUACGUCUAUAUGACUGCCAUAGAUGUGGACAGACUAGUUCUUGACAAUUUUUCUGUAAAUGGCCGCUAUUUCUUAACUUGAGCUUUAUUUUUAACGCCGUUUUCACCAUAUACCACCAAGAUCUUGUUGUUUAGGACUAUCUUAAAUCAAUUUCAACAUCACUAUUCAAUUUUGAGGAAUCACCCUCUGAUAAAGUGUACACUUGUUGGAGACCACCCUGUACAUUGUAAUGCACGCACAAGGAGCUGCAUUUUACAAUGACGUGCUGACAAUGGUGCUGAAUGUUCGUGAGUAGAUCUAGCGGCCAAAAAUUACAAAACUGCGGUGGGUGUUCGGAACGCGGGAAACAAAACUUCGCAAAAAUCCAACAAUUCCAACUUCGAAAAUUUGUUUUGGCGGGAACGUUCUUUCGAGCCUCUACUUUGGAGGUUUUCAAAUAACAUACGGCAAGGAAGUUACUUGCUCUGUGCAAAUAUUGACUGACAUUAUUCUCCUAUUUUUGUCAAACUAGCUGACUGCUAACAGCUUUCCAAAAUUAUCUUUUGAAAAUAUCACUCUUCAGAUUAACAAACAGCACAUCUCAAAAAGAAACUAGAAAUCUCAAUCCUAACUAGAAGACUUCAGUGACGUAGUGUUUACGGCAACCGUGAAUUUUCACAUUUGACGGUUUACAUGUCACAUACACAUGCUGUCAGCUUCUCUCGUAUUUUUAAUGGAAAGUUUACAUCUUGCGGUCGGCAUGAAACCGCGAUUUUAUUAUUUGUCGAGUCUCCUGCAUUUACCACAGUUUUGUAUAUAACGGCGAUAUUAUAUGCGUGAAUCUCAUUCUAAUGUAGUCUGUACAGAACGUGUGUUGAUCUAGAAUUUCUGAUCCUUUUUUUUAUACUGCACUAACAAUUUCGGCUUGACUGAGUGUAGCCCCGCCUGAGAGAAUGUUCUAACUGCGAAUGAAUUCGUUCAUUCACCACUCUUCAUUCCAAUGAAUGUUCUGGAACACAUUAUGGACAGUUAAUGGCGGGCGCUACAUCAGAAGCCGCUGCACUAAAGAUUUAGAUGAUUAUAUGAAGAAAAAAAAUGAAGAGUAUUAGUUAGGUGUAUAUUAAUGUAACAAUGUAGAUUUGUAAGUGUGUUAGUUGGUAACCAAAAAAAUCUUGCCACCCUAGAUAACCAAGAUCAAGAAGGCCAUGGGAAAAGAGAGAUCGGUUUUACUCGCAAAACUGCUGUCACUUCGGGAAAUGUUGCCUUUUCAGUCAAAUUGUCUUCAUUUUUAGGUUAAAAAAAAUCAUUAAAAUGACAGCUUUGGCUCGUAAAACCGGCUCUCUUUUUUGAAAUGGGCCACAAGUGAAUACUGACCAAAAUAAAAAUGUGUAUUUAACCGCCGAAGUUUGUGUGUUACUAGGCAAAAUCUGCCCAGGUGCACAUUCAAACGACUCGUGUCCAGUGCCAUAUAAAAUUGUAGGAGUUAGUCAUAUACAGAUACUACACGGUAGUUAAAAACAUUGAAGAAUUAUACUUUAAUUAAAAGUAGAUCUUCUCUAGCCAAACUAUCUGAUUGCUCUCAGUACGUAAUCUUUUACACUGAACUUCACUGCACAAUUUUGAAGUUACAGUGUAGGUACAAAUUCUUCACAAGUUUUGGGUUAAAACUCUAUUUCCCAAAGUUCUUUCCGUCAAGCUUGUAGUGGACAGUUAACUUGUAUCCGUAGCUUAUUACAUUGUCCAAAGAAGGUACUAUACUGCUGUACGUAAGAAAUAUAGCCAGCACAAAAAAAUAAAGUUAGUGAUGUCAAAAUUGGUAAAACAUCUUCGUUACACAUUACAUUGAGCAAUUAGCAGAAAUUAUCUCAAAUACAGAGCAUUUCCCAAAACUCAAAAAAAAAAUUCAGUUUUCUCAUUAAGUAUUUUCACCAAUAUGAAAAGAAACUGGCUAUUAAAAUUUCUUAGUACAGCUUUUGCCCAAAUUAUUUAACAAAUUUGAGGCUGAAUUGAACACGUGUAGAAUUCCAAAGGGGGAAUGUCUGUUAGUAUGUGUGUUGGUUGUAACGAGUCUUUUAGCUACAAGCUCAACUAAAUGAAAUUAUUUCCCCAAAACUGGAUCGGGGGCACCUUCGGAAAAUCAAGUUUGCAAAAUCGGGUUAAGUGGAUUACGUUUGGUGUGUCAAUGUCGCUGUGUCUGGCCAAAUUGACACUGAAUAUGUUCAGAAGGCUAAAGCGAGGAGACAUAACAAACCUUGUGAAUUGAUAACAAGGAACAAACCUGCACUGAAAUUCAAUUACAGGAUAAAAGGAACACGAAUGUAAGAAACCAACUAGAAUGAAAUUGAAACCCCUGAAGAGGAGUAGGCUUCGUUUACUUUUCGCCAUCUUGUCUAGUUCCUAAUAUCACAAGAUGGGGGCAAUAGUAGAGUUGGCUCUUACGUCCCUUGCACCAGCCCAUCUCAGCCAAGAGCCUGGGGCUGUGUCCGAAUUACUUGGCUACGGCUUGAAAUUACACACGAGUCUACGGAAAGCGGCUGCAGCCGCUACCCAUAGACUUGUGUGUAAUAUUCAGCCUCAGCCAAUCAAAUUUUCGCACGCGGCCUAGCUGUGGGCUGCAGUUUACCAAACUACGAAUCUGUCUCGAGCUAUGGCUUCAGGCUUCAGCAUUUCACACCUGACUUGGAAGCCACAGUUUAGAGUGCAUUUUUGUUACAACACUAGUACAGUCUUCGAAAUGAUUGUGGAUCCAGAGAUGGAGCCAAAGUAAUAAAUAGAACCAGGGUUUGUAAAAUGGACACAGACUGUCACAGUAAAAACA